GCCUGGAUUAGAACUCAUGACCUCUGACUCCCAAGCUUGUGAUCUUUCCACUGAGCCACGCUGCUCCUGGCAAACCAGGUGCAUUUGAAGCACGGCCCAUUGUGAAUGGAGUUAAUGUAUCUGUGCAGCCCCUCAAGGUCGCACCUGGAGAGUUUUCAGCACCUGUCUCAUCUACAAGAGGAAGAAUCAAGCGGAGGCAUAGCCAUUCCAUUCCUAACUUGGGCAGUGGCCAGAGAGUGGAAGGCAAUCUGCUAUAAGUCAAAACUCACCUGUUCUGGACAAUGGGCAAAAAGGAGAAUCGCUGGUUUGGACAAAGUGACUGUCCUGAAGACCCUGGCACCAAAGGAACUCCCUUAAAGUGUCCAGUACAUAGUCAGCCGGGCUGUGCUUUCGGAAGAAUUUGACUGGAGGGUGAGAAUGGAGCUACUGGGCCUCACCCCGGAAGCAGAUUGUGUUUCUGCCACUGGAUGGAAGAACCCCCUGAGAGCGUAUGUAUGCGUGCAUGUCGCCUCUGUGCAUGCACAUUUGUGCGUGUCUGUGUACGUGCAUGUGUGUGGGAAUAUGUGUGUGCCUCUGUGAGUGAACAAACAGGUUUAUGCAUUUCAGAGUGUUCAUCUAUGAGUGUGCUUGUGAGUACGAGUGGGCGUGUGUGUACGCGGAGUUCCUCGUGGGCAGGACGUGUGUUAGUCAACUCUGCCCUACUGUUCUCUCCCAAGCACCUAGUACAGUGCUUGGAACACAGUAGGUGCUCAGUAAAUACCAUUGAUUGAUUGUAGGGGUGGAAAUGGGUGUAGACAUGAGUGCGGGUGUGUUUGCACGCUUUGGUAUUCAAGGUGUUCUUAAAGUUCUUGGACAACUUUUAAAUCUAGAUAACUUUUAACAUAAAAAGAACCGUUAAAUGGCUCAUAACGGCAUAACUCAUAAUAUUUUACUGCGAUAUCGAUUUACUUCCUCCCGCUGCCCCGACCGAGUUUAGUUCUGCUUCUCUUCUGCCGUCGCCCCAUGCACGAGCCAGAGAGCCGAAAUAAAAAUACAGCAUUUAAAGUCAA